AAAAGACAAGUUAACAUUUACGCUAGAACAUGUAGAAAUUGUGCAGUAUUCAUGCAUGUGUGUUUCAUCCCUCAGUUUGACUACUGUUCCUGGAUGCCUAACGCCCCCCCCACCAUGACCCAACCUCCACCCUCCACGAAGCAGAACCUCCGCUUUUCUGAGCUCGUCCACAGUCUUGCUGACUGCAAGAGCUCCUUACUGAGCCUGAUUCUGACCAGGACACUCAGCUUCUCUUACUCUUGCAAUGUGAGUUUCUCCGUCGUCCACAGUGACAUAAGCUGUUGAGACAUUUUAAUGCUGACUACCACAUUCAUUCUGGCUUUCUUUUGAAGCCUGAAUCGAUUAGAUGAGAAUAUAUAUAGGUUUCCUAUUAUGAACUAUCAUUAUAUUCCAUUAUUAUUUUUCUAUUUAUUUUUCAUUUAAUUUAUCGUUAUCAAGUAGAACAAAUUCCAAAGGAAAUUAAGACAUUGCUGCUACCUCCCUCUACGUUUAGACCACAUUAUGUCUUAACUACAUGAGGAGCAGCCUCCAAGUCUGCCUUCUCCUAUGGCUGGUGGGGAGUCUGACAGGGUGCUAAAUUGUAACAUAGGUGUCCCUAAUGUGAGCUCAGGGAGGACAAAAAACAUCUCUUGAUACCAAUAUUCAGUUUGAUUACAGACCAUAGAAAGCCUCACGAUCCUUUAGUUUUUGGGGAUUUUAAGGAGGAGUUGUCAAAAAAGUUCACAUAAAGAUGGCUGAUUUGCUGCCAAGCAUUCACGGUGACGUGACUUGUUGAUCCUCUGAUUCUGGAUCUUCCGAUCACCGGGAUUCACCAGACAUUGCUCACCCCCUAACCGGCAACAUGAACUGGGACUGGACACUCAGGAGACAGGUUAUAGCCUGCAGAUAAUGUGCUGCUACAAUAGUAAUAGUAAUUUCACUCGGUACAAGACGAAACCAUGUGACAUUCUAUGCACUGGAUGUGCUUGGCUGAGGAGACAGUGGCAAAGAGUACAAAACAGCUUGACUGAAUCCCCUGUGAAAGAAAUGAUGAGGCAGUGGGUGAGUGGGCUCCAGAUUCUGGUUUCCAAUAUGUUUUAUAAAUGAUAUGGGUCCACCAAUGUUAGUGGAGGGAAUAUGGGGGAUGCCAAACUAGAGUUGGCAUCUUUUUAGCUGCAGUCAGGCCAGCCAGCUAGAU
rnacentral:ncRNA from 1 species